rnacentral:rRNA from 1 species
UGCAAUUAAGAAUUGUACUAAGGUAGCGCGGUAAGUAGCCUUUUAAUUAAAGGAUGGAAUGAAUGGUUGGACGUAAAGAGACUGUUUUUGAUGUAAUAAACUAGAAAUUUCUUUUUAAGUGAAAAAGCUUAAGUUUUUGUAAAAGACGAUAAGACCCUAUCGAACUUGAUUAGGUUAAUUAUGUUUAUGUUUACAAUAAAUUUUAUAUAAAUUUAAAUAUUAUUUAUCGGUUUAAGUAUGUUUUUGGUUAAAUUGUAACUAUUUUAUGGUAUCAGUGUUUUAGGUUGGGUUAUUGUCUGGUUAUUAAAUUUAUAGUUUGGUUUAGAAUAGUUAGGUCGAACAAAAGUUACAUUAUUUCUAAAAUUUUGUUGGGGAAACAGGUGCUUAUUAAACGGCACUUUUAUUUUUAAGGACCCUAUAUGAUGGACUAAAGCAAAAGUUACCGUAGGGAUAACAGCGUAAUUUUUUUUUGUAGGUUUAUUGAAAAAAAAGUUUGCGACCUCGAUGUUUUGGAUUUAUA